rnacentral:tRNA from 1 species
GGCGGUGUAGCUCAGUGGGAGAGUGUGUGCUUAGCAUGCAUGAGGUCCUGGGUUCAGCCCCCAGUACCUCCA